UACGUAGGGGGCUAGCGUUGUCCGGAAUCAUUGGGCGUAAAGAGCGCGUAGGCGGCCAGAUAAGUCCGGUGUGAAAGUCAAAGGCUCAACCUUUGAAUGCCGCUGGAAACUGUCUGGCUAGAGUCCGGGAGGGGCGAGUGGAAUUCCUGGUGUAGCGGUGAAAUGCGCAGAUAUCAGGAGGAACAGCCAAUGGCGAAGGCAGCUCGCUGGAACG
rnacentral:rRNA from 1 species